CGGCGAGAGCGGGUCGCC
rnacentral:sRNA from 1 species